GCGCUCGUGGCUCAAUUGGAUAGAGCAUCUGACUACGGAUCAGAGGGUUGGGAGUUCGAGUCUCUCCGAGCGCGCCA
rnacentral:tRNA from 2 species